GUUGAACGCUGGCGGCACGCCUAACACAUGCAAGUCGAGCGGCAGCGCGAUAUGUAGCAAUACAUAUUGGCGGCGAGCGGCGGACGGGUGAGGAACACGUAGGAACCUACCCUCGAGUGGGGGAUAACCAAGGGAAACUUCGGCUAAUACCGCAUGAUUUCGAGAGAGCAAAGCUGCCGCAAGGUGGCGCUCGAGGAGGGGCCUGCGUCCGAUUAGCUAGUUGGUGAGGUAAGAGCUCACCAAGGCGAUGAUCGGUAACUGGUCUGAGAGGACGACCAGUCACACUGGGACUGAGACACGGCCCAGACUCCUACGGGAGGCAGCAGUGGGGAAUAUUGGACAAUGGGGGCAACCCUGAUCCAGCGAUGCCGCGUGAGUGAAGAAGGCCCUCGGGUCGUAAAGCUCUUUAGGUUGGGAAGAAGAGUGAUGGAGGAAAUGCUAUCACUUUGACGGUACCGACAGAAUAAGCACCGGCAAACUCUGUGCCAGCAGCCGCGGUAAGAC
rnacentral:rRNA from 1 species